CAACAAUCCGUGUGCGGGACCCGCUUCGUGGAGUGUAAACCGCUGUCAGAUGGGAAGAAUAAAUGACUGUACCAUCAAAGGAAGAACCGGCUAACUCUGUGCCAGCAGCCGCGGUAAUACAGAGGGUUCAAGCGUUGUCCGGAUUUAUUGGGCGUAAAGCGUCUGUAGGUUGUUUUAUAAGUCUGAAGUGAAAGAAUGGGGCUCAACCCCAUCCCCGCUUUGGAAACUGUAAAACUAGAAUUAGUUAGAGGUAAGUGGAAUUUCCAGUGUAGCGGUGAAAUGCGUAGAUAUUGGAAGGAACACCAGAGGCGAAGGCGGCUUACUGGGACUAUAUUGACACUGAGAGACGAAAGCCUGGGGAGCGAAAGGGAUUAGAUACCCCUGUAGUC
rnacentral:rRNA from 1 species